CCUACGGGGGGCUGCAGUGGGGAAUUUUGGACAAUGGGCGCAAGCCUGAUCCAGCCAUUCCGCGUGAGUGAAGAAGGCCUUCGGGUUGUAAAGCUCUUUCGCAAGGGAAGAAAACUUAUCCUCUAACAUAGGAUGAGGUUGACGGUACCUUGAUAAGAAGCACCGGCUAACUACGUGCCAGCAGCCGCGGCAAUACGUACGGUGCGAGCGGUAAUCGGAAUUACUGGGCGUAAAGUGUGAGCAGGCUGUGAAAUCACCUAGCUCAACUUUGGAACUGCGUUUGAAACUACAAGACUAGAAUAGGUCAGAGGGGGGUAGAAUUCCACGUGUAGCAGUGAAAUGCGUAGAGAUGUGGAGGAAUAUCAAUGGCGAAGGCAGCCCCCUGGGAUCAUAUUGACGCUCAUGCACGAAAGCGUGGGGAGCAAACAGGAUUAGAUACCCUUGUAGUC
rnacentral:rRNA from 1 species